AUAGUACUCCCUCCGUUCGGAAAUUCUUGUUUUAGAAAUGGUUGUAUCUAGAACUAAAACAAGUCUAGAUACAAUCAUUUUUAAGACAAUUCUCGUCUUAAAAAUGGUUGUAUCUAAAACUAAAACAAGUCUAGAUACAACCAUUUUUAAGACAAGUAUUUCCGAACAGAGGGAGUAUCUU
rfam:Triticum urartu cultivar G1812 contig758516, whole genome shotgun sequence.